UGGGGGAAUAUUGCACAAUGGGCGCAAGCCUGAUGCAGCAACGCCGCGUGAGGGGAUGACGGCCUUCGGGUUGUAAACCUCUUUUUAGCAGGGAAGAAGCGAAAAGUGACGGUACCUGCAGAAAAAAGCACCGGCUAACUACGUGCCAGCAGCCGCGGUAAUACGUAGGGUGCAAGCGUUGUCCGGAAUUAUUGGGCGUAAAGAGCUCGUAGGCGGUCUGUCGCGUCUGCUGUGAAAUCCCGAGGCUCAACCUCGGGCCUGCAGUGGGUACGGGCAGACUAGAGUGCGGUAGGGGGAGAAUGGAACUCCUGGUGUAGCGGUGGAAUGCGCAGAUAUCAGGAAGAACACCGAUGGCGAAGGCAGUUCUCUGGGCCGUAACUGACGCUGAGGAGCGAAACGCGU
rnacentral:rRNA from 1 species